rnacentral:rRNA from 1 species
GACGAACGCUGGCGGCGUGCUUAACACAUGCAAGUCGAACGGAAAGGCCCUGCUUUUGUGGGUUUCUCGAGUGGCGAACGGGUGAGUAACACGUGAGUAACCUGCCCUUGACUUUGUGAUAACUUCAGGAAACUGGGGCUAAUACCGGAUAGGAGCUCCUGCUGCAUGGUGGUCGUUGGAAAGUUUCGGCGGUUGGGGAUGUACUCGCGGCUUAUGAGCUUGUUGGUGGGGUAGUGGCUGACCAAGGCUUCGACGGGUAGCCGGCCUGGGAGGGGGGCCGGGGACAAUGGGACUGAGAGACGGCGCAGAAGGGUACGGGAGGCAACAGGGGGAAGUAUGGCGCAGUGAGCGGAAGCGUGAGGCAGAAGCGCCGCGAGCGGGAUGAUGGCCUUCGGGUUGUAAACCGCUUUCGCCUGUGACGAAGCGUGAGUGACGGUAAUGGGUAAAGAAGCACCGGCUAACUACGUG